rnacentral:rRNA from 1 species
UACGUAGGUGGCAAGCGUUAUCCGGAUUUAUUGGGCGUAAAGGGAACGCAGGCGGUCUUUUAAGUCUGAUGUGAAAGCCUUCGGCUUAACCGGAGUAAUGCAUUGGAAACUGGGAGACUUGAGUGCAGAAGAGGAGAGUGGAACUCCAUGUGUAGCGGUGAAAUGCGUAGAUAUAUGGAAGAACACCAGUGGCGAAAGCGGCUCUCUGGUCUGUAACUGACGCUGAGGGUCGAAAGCGUGGGUAGCAAACAGG